rnacentral:rRNA from 1 species
UCGCGGCCUAUCAGCUUGUGGAGGGRUAAUGGCCUACCAAGGCAACGACGGGUAGCCGGCCMRAGAGGGUGACCGGCCACACUGGGACUGAGACACGGCCCAGACUCCUACGGGAGGCAGCAGUGGGGAAUAUUGGACAAUGGGCGAAAGCCUGAUCCAGCAACGCCGCGUGAGGGAUGACGGCCUUCGGGUUGUAAACCUCUUUCAGCAGGGACGAAGCGCAAGUGACGGUACCUGCAGAAGAAGCACCGGCCAACUACGUGCCAGCAGCCGCGGUAAUACGUAGGGUGCAAGCGUUGUCCGGAAUUAUUGGGCGUAAAGAGCUCGUAGGCGGUCCAUCGCGUCGGGAGUGAAAAGCUGGGGCUUAACCCCAGUCCUGCUUCCGAUACGGGUGGACUAGAGGUAGGUAGGGGAGAUCGGAAUUCCUAGUGUAGCGGUGAAAUGCGCAGAUAUUAGGAGGAACACCGGUGGCGAAGGCGGAUCUCUGGGCCUUACCUGACGCUGAGGAGCGAAAGCAUGGGGAGCAAACAGGAUUAGAUACCCUGGUAGUCCAUGCCGUAAACGUUGGGCGCUAGGUGUGAGGGACAUUCCACGUCCUUCGUGCCGCAGCUAACGCAUUAAGCGCCCCGCCUGGGGAGUACGGA